rnacentral:misc_RNA from 1 species
GUAGGUGAACCUGCGGAAGGAUCAUUACCGAGUUGGGGUCCCUCGGGGCCCGAUCUCCAACCCUUUGUCUAUUCCACCGCGUCGCUUCGGCGGGCCCGCGCCCACCGAUCGCGACCGCAGUCUUGAAACACAACCACACAAAACUUUCAACAACGGAUCUCUUGGCUCUG